rnacentral:rRNA from 1 species
CAUCGACUCUGUCGACUAAAGUUCUAGAUAGAAUUUGAUAAUGACAUUCUCUAUCUAUGUGUCUUGACCAAAUCACGUGCCAGCAGUCGCGGUAAUACGUGGAAGACUAGUGUUAUUCAUCUUUAAUAGGUUUAAAGGGUACUUAGACGGUAUAUUCAGCCAGGGUACUGACAAACUAGAGUUUUAUGGGAGGGGGUGUGUACUAGUGGAGUAGAGAUGAAAUUCGAUCAUACCACUAUAACAGGCAACGGCGAAGGCAACCCUUUAUGUAAAAACUGACGUUGAAGGACGAAGGCUCAGUAAACCAACAGGAUUAGAUACCCUAGCAGUCUGGGCAGACAAUGAUGAAUGUCAUAGGUAAGAAUUGCCUAUAAAUGAAAGUGUAAGCAUUCCACCUUAGGAGUAAUGCGGCAAUGCAUAAACUGAAAUCAUUAGACCGUUUCUGAAACCAGUAGUGAAGUAUGUUGUUCAAUUUGUUGACCCGCAAAGAACCUUACCACAGUUUGUAUACUUAUUUAUAUUAAGUACAAGUGUUGCACGGCUGUCUUCAGUUAAUGUCGUGAGAUUUUGGUUAGUUCCAUAAAAUUAACG